rnacentral:lncRNA from 1 species
AUUAGGCUUCUUUGGUGUGUUAAGUUAGUUACUCUGGAAGCACUGUCAAACAAAUAUUAAGACUUAGGUUAUAGCUCAGUAAAUGCUAUAACUAUCCUAGAGAUUAUAUGCAAUUCCUAGUUUUAAUGUAUUUUUGGUAUAAUGUCAUCACUUGAUAUUCUGAUUAUUGAAGUGUUAUGUGCUACAGAAAUAACUGAAUUUCCUCAUCAAUUGCAUUAGAUCUUUUAAUCAUGUUAAUUUCUGAGUCUUUUUGUCAAAAUUUUGUGACUCUUGGACUGCUAUAACUACCAGUAGACAGAUGAUCCUUUCUACUCAAGGAGGCUCUGUUUCCCCUGAACUCUGUCUUUCCCUUUUGUAACUACCCCAUACCUACCUCAACUGAGCAAUGUUAACCCAUAGGUAGGGACAUCUCUACACCCCUAUUCAGCAGGAAGAAGUUACAGAAGAUAAGACCAUCCACCCUCAUCAAUAUUAAAGAUUAUAAGGGCUAAAAUUGUUCAAGAGGGAAUGAUGUGGGAAAUAAAGCCAGAAGGGAAUGGCAGAUAAAAUUAAAUUUCCUUAUAAUCCACAAGGCCAAGCAAUUGUAGAACUAAGCACAUAAUAAACUUAAAAAUAUGUUUAAAAAUGUGGGGAUGACCCAUGGUUGUCUACAUUAAAGCCUCAACUUCUCCUUGAGCAUGCUAUGAUCACUCUUAAAUUUUUGAAUCUUGACCCUCAAGGACUAAUCACAGCUGAGCUACAUUCUUCUAAACUAGAUAAACCCUCUCAUCUUCUCGUGCUGGUUAAAACUUCUCACCUGGGUUUGAGGAUAUGUUUGUGUUCUUUCAGAUUCCCAACCUCUCUGGAUUCCCUCUCAUUUGGUGAAGCUGUGUCAUGGCAUGAUGGACACCCCCUGAAAUCCCCCUCCAAACCGCUCGACAGCAAAAGAAGGAUCAGAAGCUCAUCAUGAUGGUCCUUGCAUGUAAACUUAAGAUGACAAAAAAAAAAAAAAAAAAAGAAGAAGAAGAACUGUGGGGAAAUAAGCUGUACUUGCUAAAUGGGUUAGAAAAAAGCUUAAGGUGGAAAGCCAUCACCACGAGGUGAAAGUGCCCGAGGUUAGCUAGAGGGAUAGUGUGAUGGGAUCACGAGUAAUUUGUUAUAUAACCUGCAGUAAAUUACUUUCCAUCUGACUCCGAUAUACUAUUGUACUUUUAUCACGAAGUCCACUUGCCUCCCAGACCUUUUGCUUCUUACACAAGCUAAUGAUUACUGUAUGAUUUUUUUCUCUAAAUUCAUGUGUGUAAGAUCUUGUUUUCUUCAUGUUCACCAUGUGGGUAAUAUCUUGUGAGCUCAAUAAAUAUGGAGAUAAACCCCUGUUCA